AUGGUCGCAACCAAUGCAAACACACAGUUGAUCAUGCAAAUUCUUCAAGAGCGCAAUCAAGGCAACCAAGGGAAUCAAGGCAAAAAUCAGAAUCACUUUGCUACACUCAACCAGUUCCUUGCUAACGGGCCAAAGGCUUUCAGCAAUUGUGUUGAGGCAACCUAUGCUGACGAUUGGCUUGUGGAUCUGUGCAAGCAUUUCGAGUGCAGUAACAUCAGGCCUGAGGACUUUGUUAAGUUCGCUUCCUUCCAACUCAAAGAUCAAGCUGCAGAAUGGUUCCAGCAGUACAAGGAUUCCAGAGGUGGACGUGUUAUCACUUGGGAUGAUUUCCGUCGAGAUUUCCGAGCUCAUCAUAUCCCUCAGAGCGUGGUUGAAAGCAAGCGUCAGGAAUUCCGCAACCUGAAGCAAGGCUCUUUGUCUGUCUAUGACUACAACAAGUUGUUCCAGAAGCUCGCCCGCUUUGCCAAGCAGGACGUACCUGAUGAGAAGAGCAUGAUAUACCAGUUCAGGGGUGGUCUCAGAGAAGAAAUUCAGCUAGCUCUUGUCCUCUUUGAUCCCUUGAGAUACGAUGAGUUCUACAACAUGGCACUGAAGCAAGAGGCUGCUUAG
rnacentral:rRNA from 1 species